GCUAUCAUAGCUCAAAUGGAUAGAGCAGUUGACUUUUAAUCAACAGGAUCCAGGUUCGAUUCCUGGCGGUAGCU
rnacentral:tRNA from 1 species